GCAUGUGAGCUUUCUGUGUUCAGUGUUUACUGGUUAUAUCUUUGCUCUCUCUGCCGCUGCCAGCCACCAACACCAAGGCUGCUUACCGUGGCUGCUUUGAUGGCCAGCGCUUAGAAUUUAUCUCUGAGCUUUCUGGUCACUGAAACCAGUAUAGCUGGGAUUCAACUGUCUUUUGAGGAUGCAGAUCCUCAAAUUUUGUGGAUAAUAUUAAAGUUGUUUUAUUCUGUUCCACUUUAUUGGAAAGCUGGCUCUGGAGUUGGGCGAUGGCUCCCCCUCCUCUAGACCCUACCAAGUUUAUCUAAGGGUUCCCUCCAAAAUCUCUGUUCUGUGUCAGGCAGACCACCUGACUGUGACAGAGAAAGGAGAGCAAAACAAGGUCAAAGGAUUCAGCGGAACCUGCUGUGCAAUGACGGCUCCCAGCCGUCUGCUCUGGUGAAUGUUAGAUGGAAAAUGGAAGUGCUUAGUGCUGAAGGUCUAAGAAAGUGAGGACGGAACGCUGGUGUUUUAAGCUAUCUCAGCAAAGCUCCUCUCAGCUGGUGAUCACCAUCAGCUGUGGACUACCAGUGCCCCAGUGGCUGUGAGCCCUGGUCUUGCUGAAAGCUGAUAUGAACCAGUCCAGCCGAUGUGGUUGCCCGUCUCUUCAGCUGGGCCAGUGAACCAGAUGAAUGCCCCAUUUCGAUGCUGAAAGUCCAGGUGGGAAAACAGAAGAUCUGAGAGGUCACCGCUUACCCGAGAGUAUGAAGGAUGGAUUUCAUCCCCCAGCUCUGCCUGGCCCCAGCUUUCCUUCUGCCCUACUCCAUAGAUGGAGACUAGACUUGGAAAACACAAAGCCUUUUGUGUUACACAAGGAAGUAACUGAGGUCCAGAGAAAAAAAUAUCUCCCUGAGUUCCUACAGCUGUUUCUUGCCUCCCGAUUUAUUGCUCCGUUGUUACAGCCAAGCGGAGCACAGCACAGGGACCAGCCUGUUCUCACCUGCCUCUGUUAGUGUGCCUUUUCCAAGAACACAAGCCUGCCUGUGUGCUUACAUGUGGCUAUACAUGUGGCUACAGCUGCUUUGCCCCAUGGCCCAGCUGGAUGGUUCAGGACAGUCACUAUGUCCCACAUACCUUAAAAUGCUUUGUCCAGCUCAUGCAUCCUGUUGCCACGUCACAGGGCGGAUGACAGCAGUUAGUACCGUGUCUGCCAUGAAGAACAAUGAUCUGAGGAUGUCAACCUGUGUGUGGCUGCCAAGAAACACACCCCAUGCAGGCCCUGAUGAAACUAUUUUACUGGGACCAGUUCUGGGCAAUGGCUUACAGCAUGGCACAGUCCCCUCUGCAGGGCCCUUUACAGGGCAGGCCUGGCAGAGCUCUGGCUUCAAGUGACACGCUCUUCACGACAGCAGAGACUGUGGUGGCCCUGAAUUAUCUUGCUAUUAAUUAAUGAGGUCUUCAUGUGGUUUCAACACGUGCACUUUCAGACUCUCAGGUCCUUACAGUGUAUACUUCUCUGUACUCUGGCUUAGGGACCUACUGUGCAAUACAUUGGCCUAGGGACCUACUGUGUAACACAGCCUCUAGAUAUGUGCUAGGCUGAAAGCCAGGUUCCAGUGUGUUCUGUUUCCCUAGAAAGGAUCUCAGUAACAGCGCCUCCCUUCAGGAUUUGUUUCCAUUUCACUGAAAUCAGAUUAGUCCACUCAGAAGGCUUCAGGUUAAGGCAAAGAGCCUCGCUCUUGGACUCCAUGGAAGCCCCAACCUGAAGACUGCAGUUGCGAUAGUAAGUGCUUUCAGAACUCCCAGGAAGUUCUCUCUGGAGGCUGCUUGCUGAUGAAGUGCUCAGUGCCCUGACAUUGCUCAGGAUCUGCCCGUCUCUGACAAAGUUGGGAGUCAACCCAGAUCGGCACCAUCUGGGAAACUUGGUCAUGGCUCAAGAAUCCAGAGGAGGUCCUCCAAAGACUUUUGAUAGUUGCCGAGGCUGACUGCGGAACUUCAGAAGGAAGGGCCGAGCAGAUGUGGACCUGAUGUACCCAGAGCUCAGCUGCAUCUGGACUUCAUGGUCAUGACCUAAGUCAUCCCCAGCUUUGGCUUUCCUAUCUGCCCCAGCCUACAUGAGCAAGAGAAGCUGGCAAUGAAGCAAUCAAAGUUGAUGAGGCCAGUAGCAGACAUUCUGCCAUGACAUGUUUCUAAUAAGCUGUGGCUUAAACCAGGUUCUCUCUCACCUCCCCAGCCCUCUCCCGACAGGGGACAACUAGUAGUUAUUGCCCUGUUGCUAGAGGCAUCCUCUUAAACCAAUGCCAACUCAUCUGGGAGAAGAGUGAGAGGAAAAUGAGUCUCAGCCAUGAUGGGAGAGAGGUUGUAAAUGCCCUAGGGCUGGGGCGGCUGGGAGGGAUGAAGAAUGGAUAAAGAAAAUGUGGCACUCCCCUACAGAGGAGCUUAUUGUGCCAUAAAGAAGAACGAGAUUAUGGAACUUG